rnacentral:rRNA from 1 species
GGGGGGGGGGGGGGGGGGGGGGGGGGGGGGGGGGGCGGGCGGGGGGGGCCUGCGGGGGGGGGGGGCGGGGGUGGCGGGCGGGGGAGUAACACGUGAGGAACCUGCCCUUGACUUUGGGGUAACUUCAGGAAACUGGGGCUAAUACCGGAUCGGAGCUCCGGCUGCAGGGUGGGGGUUGGAAAGUUUCGGCGGGUGGGGAUGGACUCGCGGCUUAUCAGGUUGUUGGUGGGGGUGGGGCUUACCAAGGCUUUGGCGGGUAGCCGGCCUGAGAGGGUGACCGGCCACAUUGGGACUGAGAUACGGCCCAGACUCCUACGGGAGGCAGCAGUGGGGAAUAUUGCACAAUGGGCGGAAGCCUGAUGCAGCAACGCCGCGUGCGGGAUGACGGCCUUCGGGUUGUAAACCGCUUUCGCCUGUGACGAAGCGUGAGUGACGGUAAUGGGUAAAGAAGCACCGGCUAACUACGUG